rnacentral:rRNA from 1 species
UACGUAGGGUGCGAGCGUUACUCGGAAUUACUGGGCGUAAAGCGUGCGUAGGUGGUGAGUUAAGUCUGUCGUGAAAGCCCCGGGCUCAACCUGGGAAUGGCGAUGGAUACUGGCUCGCUAGAGUGCGGUAGAGGAGAGUGGAAUUCCCGGUGUAGCAGUGAAAUGCGUAGAGAUCGGGAGGAACAUCAGUUGCGAAGGCGGCUCUCUGGACCAGCACUGACACUGAGGCACGAAAGCGUGGGGAGCAAACAGG